rnacentral:rRNA from 1 species
AUACGAAGGGUGCGAGCGUUAAUCGGAAUUACUGGGCGUCAAGCGUACGUAGGCGGUUCGUUAAGUUAGAUGUGAAAGCCCCGGGCUUAACCUGGGAACUGCAUUUAAAACUGGCGGACUAGAGUUGAGUAGAGGGGAGUGGAAUUUCAGGUGUAGCGGUGAAAUGCGUAGAGAUCUGAAGGAACACCAGUGGCGAAGGCGACUCCCUGGACUCGAACUGACGCUGAGGUACGAAAGCGUGGGUAGCAAACGGGAUUAGAAACCCUAGUAGUCC